rnacentral:rRNA from 1 species
UACGAGGGGGGCAAGCGUUGUUCGGAAUUAUUGGGCGUAAAGGGUGCGUAGGCGGUUUGGUAAGUCUGAUGUGAAAUCUAUGGGCUCAACUCAUAGUCUGCAUCGGAAACUGCCGGGCUUGAGUAUGGGAGAGGUGAGUGGAAUUCCAGUGUAGCGGUGAAAUGCGCAGAUAUCAGGAGAACACCCGGUGGCGAAGGCGGACUCUCGGUCGGUACCGGUACUGAGGCGACGAGAAGCGUGGGGAGCGAACAGG